rnacentral:misc_RNA from 1 species
UCGAGUUUUUAACUCUUAAACCAUAUGUGAACAUACCUUUUCUAGCUGCUUUGGCAGGCCUUUCGGGGUCUGCCGGUAGCAUUUAAAAACUCUUUAUAUUUCUAUAGAUUUAUUCAUUGCUGAGUGGCAUUAACUAAAUAAGUUA